ACAUGCCAAAAAAACAGCAAAUUACAAGUCGUUACAGAGAUUACGGAGCCAAAAAAUGCGAAGAAGAUGAAACAUUAACAAAGCAAAUAUCAUUAUUUCAUAGGAAAAGAUAAAUGUGCAAGAUAUACAAGAUAAAUCAAGCAGGAAAUGUUUGUUCCAGGGUGCAGGCCGCUCCAUUACUGGGGGAGUGGUCCACCGCUGGUCUCGUCCACCGGGCCAGACGUUCUUUGCUGUGGAGAUGGAACACUCUGAAGCCUGUUGGAGCGAGCUGCAGGGAGCCCUCGGAGUGCGGAACCAAGUACUGCAGGAGAAAUGUCUGCAGUUUUCACGUUUCUUCCUGUUAAACAUCUGCAAGCAAGGGAAUCUCAAGGCUAAUCACCCAGUAUGGAAUAAAUAUCAUUUCAACCGAAUAAUGGAAAACUGGAGAACAAUUACUGAUUAUGCAUGAGCAGAGGAAUCGAUGUCCAAAAACGAAACAGGAAAAAUGCUGCUUUCUGAACUGUCUGGUUAGCCAUUCCUCUCACAUUUACUGAUCCCAGUUUUGUACCAGGUACAGCAUUGUCUCAAGCAAACAAGCUGUUGUCCCUGUACUGCAUGUACCAAAGAUCAAUAUCCACGUUUCUUAUCAGUAACAGCACUAAACCACUGGAUGUUACUUUAUCUGUGUGAUCUACAAUGUUUGAUUAAGGAAAUACAGACAUAACAGAAACAAUUUGAAGUACAUUGAGUUUAUUGAUAUGUCGUUUGUAAAAUGUGCGGCAAUCGAGCCUGUAUUUAUUUGUAAAUAUGUUACAUGCUGGAGAGUUUGUAAAUAUUGUAAAACUUGUGCAGAUGCUUUUUUAUGUUUGUAGAAAAAGUGCAAGUACGGUUCUUUUAACAGAGCAGAAUUACGACAUGCUAGAUAAAUACAUAUCCUGAAGCAUUUAAGACAAUAAAGAUUAUUUUCUUAAAACAAACAUGGGAUACUGAAUGGAGCAAUAACAUUAAAACCCAAAACAGUAAUGAACUAUCAACAGGUAGAAAGAAGCACCCAAAUUCUAAUUGCUGUAGUGUAGUGACAAAUGUUCACAUUUUAAUUACGGCCACUGUUGUGUUUUUACAAAUAGAAAACCUGCCAGUUUAAAAUACGGUUAAAAUAUUUUUGGAGGUACAUACAUUUGAAAUGUUCUCCAAGUAAAAGAUCAAUAUUUUUGAACAAUCUAGUUGAAGCAACUGGUUCUCAGAAGUUAGAUGGGACAGCCCUCACAUGUACCUAGUUUCCCUUAUAGGUAUAUUUUUCAAUUUACACACUACAAAACUGACCACAUCCUUCCUUGGAGGUAAAGUGUUCAAUCAGGGUCAAUUUUUGUUCAGUGCAGAGGACUCAUACAUAUCAGUACAUUAGAGGAUAGCUUCUUCAAUGUGUUCAACCAUCAACCAUUUGGUUGGCCUCACACUCGUCAUGACAUCAGCGAUCUGAAUGCAUUCAUUCGAAAGUUCUCAGGAAACAUGUAUGCCUAUCAUUCCCGUAAUUCAUAAGUGGUUAGCUCGUUCAGUGGGUAACUAAACCAAAUGACCAAACGAAUCAGAACACACCGAUAUGGAUGUUCACUUGGAAUUGCAUAUACAACUCAGAGUGGCAAUAAAAUCUAUUUAACAAUGUUCCAUCAUCAGGCUGCUGAGCCUGCUAACAGUAGUAUAGAAAUAUUAAAAAGUGACAUUACGGUGGUUGUGUAACAAGUACACUGGGCCACAGUGGAACAAAGGGGAACUUAUUUCGGCACAUUUCCAGAUCUUGCUGACUGCAUCAUAUUAUACAGUACAGUGUCAUUUCAUUAGCGAUCUCUGACAGUCAGACCUGAUCCUGCUAGCUGGCCUAUACUCUGCAGUCUAUGAGAUCAUACGGAAAAUAAACUCCCCCACAUAUCUUCACACGCAUCAUCGUUUCCAACAUCUCAUACACACACACACACACACACACACACACUUCCUCACACACAGUAUCGUAUCGAUAAUCUCUUAACCUCUUCCCUAAAUCUUCACCAUUAGAUCGGGUUUUUGGGUAAACUUGGUUUCAGUUUG